UACGAAAGGUGCAAGCGUUAAUCGGAAUUACUGGGCGUAAAGCGCGCGUAGGCGGUGUGUUAAGUCGGAUGUGAAAGCCCAGGGCUCAACCUUGGAACUGCAUCCGAUACUGGCACGCUAGAGUGCAGUAGAGGGAGGUGGAAUUUCCGGUGUAGCGGUGAAAUGCGUAGAGAUCGGAAGGAAUACCGAUGGCGAAGGCAGCCCCCUGGGUCGAUACUGACGCUCAUGCACGAAAGCGUGGGGAGCGAACAGG
rnacentral:rRNA from 1 species